GGCGUCAGCCAGACGAUCGCCGGCGGGCCGCGCGCCUGCCGGAGGAAAGUCCGAACACCACAGGGCAGGGUGCUCCAUAACGUGGAGUCGCGGCAACGCGAAGGAAAGUGCAACAGAGAGCAGACCGCCCCACACCUUUUAUUGGGUGCGGGGUAAGGGUGAAACGGUGCGGUAAGAGCGCACCAGUUCCCCGGGCGACCGGGGAAGCUUGGUAAACCCCACCCGGUGCAAGACCGAAUAGGGGAGCGUUUGAGGGCGGCCCGCCUGAUGCUCCCGGGUAGGUCGCAGGAGGUGCCGGGCAACCGGCAUCCACAGAUGAAUGAUCGUCGUCCCAAACCGGGGCAACCCGGUUUGAGGGAACAGAAUUCGGCUUAUGGACGGCGCCGGCC
rnacentral:RNase_P_RNA from 1 species